UUUUCGUUUGAUUUAGUUUUUUUUUGCUAGGUUUUGAUUGCAAAGAUUUUUUUUCCUCAUCUUGACUGAUUUUUUUGCAAUUUUACUGUUGAAAUUUAACCAGUUUGUAGUGAUUGAUGGUUGAUCUUGGUUGCAGAACAUGGAGACGCAGUACAUCCAAAUUUGGUGACAUUAGCGAAUUUUUCUUUACAUGAUCUAUUCUUUAUAUUGGUUCUUGGUAUCCUUGAUAAUAUACACAAGGUAGCAUUAGUGAUUUUUUCUUCGUAUGAUCUAUUCCUUAUAUUGAUUCUUGGUAUCUCCUGAUAGUUUACAACUGUGAGUAAUGUGAUAAAAUUGAGGAAGUUGAAAUAGAGAUUAAGGUACAAUUAUGCAACUUUCAUAUUUUUUUAAUGAUUCUUGGUCUAUUUUAAUUUAGGAGUAUGACUUUAAAUUGAAAUUUCAGGACUACAUGAAUCUGUUUAUGCAGAAUAAGCUAUGGGAGUAAGUUGCACACCAACUGUUAAGCUAUGGGAGUAAGUUGCACACCAACUGUUUGACAUUACAUCCCAAUGACCGAUGUUCUAACUCUAGAUUUCUAUGAGCUUGCUAUGAAUUUUCCUCUAACUUGGUUCAGGGUUCAUACCUUAUCUGAUUCCGAAAGGGUCUUUAUAGAUUUUGCUCGGUGAUAAAUUUUAUACAAUUCUAUUUUGAUAUGGGAUUAAUAUCCUCUGUUUUAUUUGUGAGUUUCGGUUUCAAAUUGGGUGUAUCAUUCUCCAUGUUCAUAUGCAUACCGAUGUAUUUAACUAAUAAAAAUGUAUGAGAUUAGAAUCUUUAGCGUAUAAGGUUCGUUAUAAGAUGCAGACUCUUUGUAUGAUCUAUUCUUUAUAUUGGUUCUUGGUAUCCCCUGAUAGUGUACACAGGGUAGCAUUAAUGAUUUUUUCUUCGUAUGAUCUAUUCCUACGAUCAUUAAUGUAUACGAGGUAGCAUUAGAGAUUCCACCGGGAGGCUUGAAACAACUUAAAGCUUUAAUUGAUUGGAUUUACAAUUGUGCACUGUAAGAUAUAGUUAUGUUAAAAUCUUGGUAAUGUGAUCUUACUACCAUUAGCUAUAAUUUCUUUUCCUUUUCAACUUCACUGCUGACUAUUUCUUGGUCAAGUACUCCACUUUGCCAUACGUAUGAGAAAUUUGAAAUUCUGACCUAAGAGUUGUUCUGUAUUUAUUUGAUCAAAGUGAUCUAGGCAACUAAAGCAACAUUUUUGCAACAUUUUAGAAUUGCACGAGCCUUUGAAUAAUAUGUCUACCCUUGGAGCAAGGGAGAACUCCAACUGAUCAACUUUUAGGACGCAUCUUAGAAAAAUUAAGGCAAUAAUAUUGAGAGAAACAACUGGUGGUGGUGAAGGUGGACCUGGUGAAUAAUGGUGACAAGAAUAGGCGUAUCUUUACUCCAAAGAUUAUUUUUGAUUAAAAUCACCUUGUGUACUCCAUACCACCCACUGUUACAGAGGCAAGACUUCUCAAUAGCUAGAGUAAGAGGAUUUUGAAAAGAUAAACAUUCAAGGCUAGGCCAAACAAAAAAGUCAGUCUACUUUUGUCAGUUUAUGAUGCCAAAAGCUGAAAUUGAUCAGACAUAGUAAUUUUUUUGUAUUAAAGAGUUUUUCUUACCAGAUCAUAUGUAAAAAUGUAAAGUUUUUGUUUGCUUACAAAUCUCAUUGAACUCAGAAGAUCAUCAUAAUGCACAUCUAUUUUAGCAGAUCAGGACACCAAAACCCAUACAGAGAAUAACAUUUUCCUUAAAAUAUCUACCAAGUGCUUCAAAAGUUUCACUAAUAAAUCAUUGAUUAUCAUUUCAGAAAAGGAGAAAAAGUUUGUGGAUGAAAUUUUUGCUGAAGUAGUAUGAAGAAGGAAGAGCAAGGAUUAUUAAGGCUACUCCAUACCCGUAUAUCACAUGCUACCCAAUGUUGAAGAUUCGGCUAAACAGACUGUAAUGUGUUUGCUGAAGCGAAUAACAAUAAUUGUAUACUUACUAUUGGCACUCAAAUAUUGGAAUUAUUGCACAUGUUUCAAUCCGGGGUCGAGGCAUAACAUCUAGAGGAAGAAUGCAACUAAAAUUCCUUUUUGUCCAGUAGAUUUCACCGCGUCUUGAUACAUCGCAUUGUCAUGGGCACCUAUCUGAAAAUGCAUUUGAUGGUUUUAUAGAAUACCAUCAACGUUAGCAGGCAUCAACAUUGGAGCUCAAGCUAGCUCAAGUUAGCAGCAAUCAGUACUCUUUAUUAUUUAUGAGUUAUUGAUACAGUUAAGAGGUGAGAAGGUGGAGUUCGAGGGCAUCUUACGGGGGAAGUCUGGAUCUGAAAUUUUAUUUAUGCCAAAUCUUUCACUGUAUAGUAAAAGAACAAGAUUGUGUUGGUAAUUUGCAAGAAUGACAUGAUGUUUGCAGAUUCAUCUUUCUCAUCAUUUCUCACCGUUAAGGAAGAUUCAAGGAA